GGAAGCGACGCGCCUUGGGCUCAGUGCGCAGGCGCACGUGCCGCCUUGGUCAAUAUAAGGAAGGUUCGCCGCCAUUCUCGCCCUUUCGUUCUGGCGACUUCUUGGGCGUUUGCUGUGUCUUCGAUAUGUCUCGUCCCAUCGGGAUUAACUUGCAGAUGGUCGGCCUGAUCAAGCAGGACAGAAUGGAGGUUGGAGGGAGAGAAGGGCGGCAUCCGGGGAGAUGAGAAUACGCCUUCCAUCUUAAAGUCUCAAGGUUUGCUGACAGACCAGGCUCUGCAUGGAGCCUGAACUCGGGAGAAUAUUGGCCUGAGGGAGCCGUGGAUGCCAGUGUUGGUCGGAUCUUGAUUUAAGGUGCUACUGGAAUGCAGAACACCAGCUCUGUUCCUGCUGCCAGCCCCAUGCAGAAUGCAAAGAGUUACCUUUUGGCUGGGCAGCAAUGGUAUUGUGUGCACUGCUACUGGGAAUAAAUAGAAAAUAUUGGUCUUCUAUCUGUA